AUGUACCCCUGUGCACUCUGGCUACUGUGCGCCGCCUACGCCCGCUUGACGACGGCUCGCGACGUCUUGUUAGCC
rnacentral:sRNA from 1 species